AACAAACGCUGGCGGCGUGCCUAAUACAUGCAAGUCGAACGGGGAAAGCUUUCGGGUGAGUACUAGUGGCGCACGGGUGAGUAGCGCGUGGAUAAUCUGCCCUCGAAUGGGGAAUAACUAGUCGAAAGAUUAGCUAAUACCGCAUAAGACCACGACUACUGAGGUAGUUGGGGUCAAAGGAGCAAUUCGUUUGAGGAUGAGUCCGCGUAAGAUUAGCUAGUUGGUGAGGUAAUGGCUCACCAAGGCGAUGAUCUUUAACUGGUCUGAGAGGAUGAUCAGUCACACUGGAACUGAGAUACGGUCCAGACUCCUACGGGAGGCAGCAGUAGGGAAUAUUGGACAAUGGGGGCAACCCUGAUCCAGCGACGCCGCGUGAGCGAUGAAGGCCUUCGGGUCGUAAAGCUCUGUUGUAAGGGAAAAAGUUCUGAUUGUACCUUACGAGAAAGGAUCGGCUAACUUCGUGCCAGCCGCCGCAGUAA
rnacentral:rRNA from 1 species